rnacentral:rRNA from 1 species
GGGACGAACGCUGGCGGCGUGCUUAACACAUGCAAGUCGAACGGUGAUAUCAGGGCUUGCUCUGGUUGAUCAGUGGCGAACGGGUGAGUAACACGUGAGUAACCUGCCCCAGACUCUGGGAUAACUUCGGGAAAUCGGAGCUAAUACCGGAUACGAGACGUACCCGCAUGGGUGGUGUCUGGAAAGAUUUAUUGGUCUGGGAUGGACUCGCGGCCUAUCAGCUUGUUGGUGAGGUAAUGGCUCACCAAGGCGACGACGGGUAGCCGGCCUGAGAGGGCGACCGGGCCACGACUGGGACUGAGAUACGGCCCAGACUCCUACGGGAGGCAGCAGUGGGGAAUAGUUGCACAAUGGGCGAAAGCCUGAUGGCAGCGACGCCGCGUGAGGGAUGAAGGCCGUUCGGUUGUAAACCUCUUUCAGCAGGAGAAGCGAAAGUGACGGUACCUGACAGAAGAAGCGCGACUAACUACGUGACCAGCAGCCGC